AGUGAACGCUGGCGGUAGGCCUAACACAUGCAAGUCGAACGGCAGCACAGGAGAGCUUGCUCUCUGGGUGGCGAGUGGCAGACGGGUGAGGAAUACAUCGGAAUCUACUCUGUCGUGGGGGAUAACGUAGGGAAACUUACGCUAAUACCGCAUACGACCUACGGGUGAAAGCAGGGGACCUUCGGGCCUUGCGCGAUUGAAUGAGCCGAUGUCGGAUUAGCUAGUUGGCGGGGUAAAGGCCCACCAAGGCGACGAUCCGUAGCUGGUCUGAGAGGAUGAUCAGCCACACUGGAACUGAGACACGGUCCAGACUCCUAGGGGAGGCAGCAGGGGGGAAUAUUGGACAAUGGGCGCAAGCCUGAUCCAGCCAUACCGCGUGGGUGAAGAAGGCCUUCGGGUUGUAAAGCCCUUUUGUUGGGAAAGAAAUCCAGCUGGCUAAUACCCGGUUGGGAUGACGGUACCCAAAGAAUAAGCACCGGCUAACUUCGUGCCAGCCGCCGCCGUAA
rnacentral:rRNA from 1 species